UAUAAUAUGGCUUAGUGAUAAAGCACGUGCCUAGUAUGCACAAAUUCUUAGGUUCAAUCCCCAGUACCAUAA
rnacentral:tRNA from 1 species